ACCUGUGCCUGCAGCGUCCUCCGCCUCACCCAGCAUGGCAGCCUGUGCCUGCAGCGUCCUCCACCUCACCCAGCAUGGCAGCCUCCCGCCGGCCUCACCUAGAAAUCCACUGUCAGCCUCACUGCCCUUCCUCCCGGAUUCAAGAGGAGAACUUGAGCCUGGAGACUUCAGGAUGCCUCCCCAGUCCCUCCUAUACGGGGACCCAAGGCAGAGGGGUCACUGGGAAUCAACGCAUAGACAGUAAUUUUCCUCCUGCUUGCUUUCUUGCUUUACUGAAAGAGCCCUGGAACUUGCCAUUCCUGCAAAAGAUAUAAACUUAUUAAAAAAUCCCUACCACUAGAGUAGUAAGACUACUGAAAAUUCAC
ensembl:lncRNA